UUAGCGGCGGACGGGUGAGUAACACGUGGAUAACCUACCUAUAAGACUGGGAUAACUUCGGGAAACCGGAGCUAAUACCGGAUAAUAUUUUGAACCGCAUGGUUCAAAAGUGAAAGACGGUCUUGCUGUCACUUAUAGAUGGAUCCGCGCUGCAUUAGCUAGUUGGUAAGGUAACGGCUUACCAAGGCAACGAUGCAUAGCCGACCUGAGAGGGUGAUCGGCCACACUGGAACUGAGACACGGUCCAGACUCCUACGGGAGGCAGCAGUAGGGAAUCUUCCGCAAUGGGCGAAAGCCUGACGGAGCAACGCCGCGUGAGUGAUGAAGGUCUUCGGAUCGUAAAACUCUGUUAUUAGGGAAGAACAUAUGUGUAAGUAACUGUGCACAUCUUGACGGUACCUAAUCAGAAAGCCACGGCUAACUACGUGCCAGCAGCCGCGGUAAUACGUAGGUGGCAAGCGUUAUCCGGAAUUAUUGGGCGUAAAGCGCGCGUAGGCGGUUUUUUAAGUCUGAUGUGAAAGCCCACGGCUCAACCGUGGAGGGUCAUUGGAAACUGGAAAACUUGAGUGCAGAAGAGGAAAGUGGAAUUCCAUGUGUAGCGGUGAAAUGCGCAGAGAUAUGGAGGAACACCAGUGGCGAAGGCGACUUUCUGGUCUGUAACUGACGCUGAUGUGCGAAAGCGUGGGGAUCAAACAGGAUUAGAUACCCUGGUAGUCCACGCCGUAAACGAUGAGUGCUAAGUGUUAGGGGGUUUCCGCCCCUUAGUGCUGCAGCUAACGCAUUAAGCACUCCGCCUGGGGAGUACGACCGCAAGGUUGAAACUCAAAGGAAUUGACGGGGACCCGCACAAGCGGUGGAGCAUGUGGUUUAAUUCGAAGCAACGCGAAGAACCUUACCAAAUCUUGACAUCCUUUGACAACUCUAGAGAUAGAGCCUUCCCCUUCGGGGGACAAAGUGACAGGUGGUGCAUGGUUGUCGUCAGCUCGUGUCGUGAGAUGUUGGGUUAAGUCCCGCAACGAGCGCAACCCUUAAGCUUAGUUGCCAUCAUUAAGUUGGGCACUCUAAGUUGACUGCCGGUGACAAACCGGAGGAAGGUGGGGAUGACGUCAAAUCAUCAUGCCCCUUAUGAUUUGGGCUACACACGUGCUACAAUGGACAAUACAAAGGGCAGCGAAA
rnacentral:rRNA from 1 species